GAAACAUCUAAGUACCUGAAGGAAGAGAAAGAAAUUCGAUUCCGUAAGUAGCGGCGAGCGAACGCGGAUUAGCCCAAACCAAUAAAGUUUUCUUUAUUGGGGUUGCGGACAUAUCAUAACGAAGAGGUAUCGUAAUUGAAGAGGUUUGGAAAGACCCACCACAGAAGGUAAUAGUCCUGUAUGUUAAACGAGAAGACUUUAGAUAUGAUCCAGAGUACCACGGGACACGUGAAACCCUGUGGGAAGCAGGAGGGACCACCCUCCAAGGCUAAAUACUACCUAGUGACCGAUAGCGUAUAGUACCGUGAGGGAAAGGUGAAAAGAACCCCGGGAGGGGAGUGAAAUAGAACCUGAAACCCUGCACUUACAAGCUGUGGAAGCACAUUUCUUGUGUGACCGCGUACUUUUUGUAGAACGGGCCAACGAGUUACGUUAAGUAGCAAGGUUAAGCACUUAAGGUGCGGAGCCGUAGCGAAAGCGAGUUUUAACUGAGCGUUCAGUUACUUGACGUAGACCCGAAACCGGGCGACCUACCCAUGAGCAGGAUGAAGCGAAAGUAAAAUUUCGUGGAGGUCCGAACCCACGAGCGUUGAAAAGCUCGGGGAUGACUUGUGGGUAGCGGUGAAAUUCCAAUCGAGCCCGGAGAUAGCUGGUUCUCCCCGAAAUAGCUUUAGGGCUAGCCUCAAGGUGAGAGAUACGGAGGUAGAGCACUGAAUGUCCUAGGGGGUAUUGCACCUACCGAAGACUAUCAAACUCCGAAUGCCGUCAUCUUAUACUUGGGAGUCAGACUGUGGGUGAUAAGAUUCAUAGUCGAAAGGGCAACAGCCCAGAUCGUCAGCUAAGGUCCCUAAAUGUAAGUUAAGUGGUAAAGGAUGUGGGAUUGCACAGACAACCAGGAUGUUGGCUUAGAAGCAGCCACUCAUUCAAAGAGUGCGUAAUAGCUCACUGGUCGAGUGAUCCUGCGCCGAAGAUUUCCGGGGCUAAAACUUACUACCGAAGCUACGGCAUCAGUAAUGAUGGGUAGGGGAGCUUCCCAUACGGGUUGAAGCAUGACCGUAAGGACAUGUGGACAGUAUGGGAGUGAGAAUGUUGGCAUGAGUAGCGAGAUGUGGGUGAGAAUCCCACAGGCCGUAAACCCAAGGUUUCCAGGGGAAGGUUCGUCCGCCCUGGGUUAGUCGGGACCUAAGCUGAGGCCGAAAGGCGUAGGUGAUGGACAACAGGUUGAUAUUCCUGUACUACCGAUAACCGUUUGAGAGAAGGGAUGACACAGUAGGAUAAGCUAAGCACACUGUUGGUUAUGUGUGCCCAAGCAUUGAGGCAGUCAAAGUAGGCAAAUCCGCUUUGAUAAUGCUGGGAUGUGAUGGGGAGCGAAAUUUAGUAGCGAAGUAGCUGAUUUCACACUGUCAAGAAAAGUCUCUAUCGAGGUUAAAGGUACCCGUACCGCAAACCGACACAGGUGGGUGAGGAGAGUAUCCUAAGGCCAGCGAGAGAACUGUUGUUAAGGAACUCGGCAAAAUGACCCCGUAACUUAGGGAUAAGGGGUGCCACCAUCAGGUGGCCGCAGAGAAUAGGCCCAAGCGACUGUUUACCAAAAACAUAGGUUUCUGCUAAGUCGCAAGACGAUGUAUAGGAGCUGACGCCUGCCCGGUGCUGGAAGGUUAAGGGGAUCUGUUAGAGCAAUCGAAGCAGUGAACUUAAGCCCCAGUAAACGGCGGCCGUAACUAUAACGGUCCUAAGGUAGCGAAAUUCCUUGUCGGGUAAGUUCCGACCCGCACGAAAGGCGUAACGAUUUGGGCACUGUCUCAACAACAGACUCGGUGAAAUUGUAAUUCCGGUGAAGAUGCCGGAUACCUGCGACAGGACGGAAAGACCCCAUGGAGCUUUACUGUAGCUUGACAUUGGGUCUUGGUACUACAUGUACAGGAUAGGUGGGAGGCUUUGAAACCAGGACGCCAGUUUUGGCGGAGCCAUCCUUGGGAUACCACCCUUGUAGUACUGGGACUCUAACCAUAGGCCAUGAAUCUGGUCUUGGGACACUGUCAGGUGGGCAGUUUGACUGGGGCGGUCGCCUCCCAAAAGGUAACGGAGGCGCUCAAAGGUUCUCUCAGUACGGUCGGAAAUCGUACGUAGAGUGUAAAGGCAAAAGAGAGCUUGAUUGCAAGACAUACAGGUCGAGCAAGGAUGAAAAUCGGACUUAGUGAUCCGGUGGUUCUGCGUGGAAGGGCCAUCGCUCAACGGAUAAAAGCUACCCUGGGGAUAACAGGCUUAUCUCCCCCAAGAGUCCACAUCGACGGGGAGGUUUGGCACCUCGAUGUCGGCUCAUCACAUCCUGGGGCUGUAGUAGGUCCCAAGGGUUGGGCUGUUCGCCCAUUAAAGUGGUACGCGAGCUGGGUUCAGAACGUCGUGAGACAGUUCGGUCCCUAUCCGUCGCAGGCGUAGGAAAUUUGAGAAGACCUGUCCUUAGUACGAGAGGACCGGGAUGGACGUACCUCUGGUGUACCAGUUGUCCUGCCAAGGGCAUGGCUGGGUAGCUAUGUACGGAAUGGAUAAGCGCUGAAAGCAUCUAAGCGCGAAGCCAACUUCAAGAUAAGAUUUCCCACCGCAAGGGUAAGACCCCAGAAAGACUAUCUGGUUGAUAGGUCGAAGGUGUAAGUGCAGCAAUGUAUUUAGCUUAUCGAUACUAAUAGGUCGAGGACUUGACCAA
rnacentral:rRNA from 1 species